AGUGAACGCUGGCGGUAGACCUAACACAUGCAAGUCGAACGGCAGCACAGUAAGAGCUUGCUCUUACGGGUGGCGAGUGGCGGACGGGUGAGGAAUACAUCGGAAUCUACUUUUUCGUGGGGGAUAACGUAGGGAAACUUACGCUAAUACCGCAUACGACCUACGGGUGAAAGCAGGGGAUCUUCGGACCUUGCGCGAUUGAAUGAGCCGAUGUCGGAUUAGCUAGUUGGCGGGGUAAAGGCCCACCAAGGCGACGAUCCGUAGCUGGUCUGAGAGGAUGAUCAGCCACACUGGAACUGAGACACGGUCCAGACUCCUACGGGAGGCAGCAGUGGGGAAUAUUGGACAAUGGGUGCAAGCCUGAUCCAGCCAUACCGCGUGGGUGAAGAAGGCCUUCGGGUUGUAAAGCCCUUUUGUUAGGAAAGAAAAGCAGCAGGUUAAUACCCCGCUGUUCUGACGGUACCCAAAGAAUAAGCACCGGCUAACUUCGUG
rnacentral:rRNA from 1 species